rnacentral:misc_RNA from 1 species
CUAUCUGAUUUUUUCUAUCUCUUUGGCUGCGAUUAGGAUUUGAUUUCGAUUUCGAUUUAUAUUUUCGCUAAUAUAAAUUGAGAAAUCUCUGAAGAUCAAUUAUGCAGCGAUUCGUUGAUACUGUCCUCGCUGUAACCAAAGAGUCAGUGAAGACAUUCACUUAUGAGUCUUUGCAUAAUAUCGUGAGGCUGAUAAAUGGAGUGUCAGCACUUUUGUUGACGCUAUUGCCAGGGAAGGCUAAUAUCCUUGAAGGUCUUCAUGGCUGGGAGCUUAGGCCAACUGUUCGUGGACCACGAUUCCCCCGCUGGAUGGAGAAUGGGGUGUCCUCUUUCAACAAAUUCAUCCAUGAUCUGUCAAUGGAUUCUGAUACUUCAAGUGAGGAUUAUUCAUCAGCAGAAGAAGAUAGUGAUGGAAUAUGUCCUGCAUCACCAUUAUCUCAAAGUUCACGAGUCUCGAGGACAAAUUCUUUCAGGAAGAAUAGCGGGUACCGGAAAGGAUGGACUAUGCUCUUAUUAUCAUGGAUUCUCUUUCCUGAGAGGUUUUUGCUAGGGAUACCAUUAUGUCUUUGUCGUUUAUUUUACAUUAGGACCUCCUUUAUGAGGGGAAGCCACAGGCCUUCACGAUUACAUUCUAUUAGGAGAGUGAAUACUCCAAAGGAUCAUGUCAUUCAUCAUACCACUGACAGGAGACGUGGAGUCAUUGAGGAUCUUCAUCUGGCAAUUGAGAUAUUCAAUAUUUGAUUUUUUCCAUAAAGCUGCACAUUUUCUUCUUUCUCCAUCAGAAGUUUUGAGAAUACCAUACAGAUGGUUUUCAUAUCAGAGAAGUGGCCAUGAAGAUACUAAUGGCAUGUCAGAUACAUCUGUUCCCACCGCUACCCUUGGAGAGAGUGAUCCAACUCCUACAGAAAGGAAAACUACCUUUCACCAGUCUCUGAAUACAGAUGCUCGGACUUGUCAGGAUGUAAUAACAGAGCUUGGAUACCCAUAUGAAGCAAUUCGGGUGAUCACUGCAGAUGGAUAUGUUCUUCUUCUAGAAAGAAUUCCCAGACGUGAUUCGCGGAAAGCUCUUUACCUUCAGCAUGGGCUUUUGGAUUCAUCCAUGGGUUGGGUGUCUAAUGGGAUUGUUGGCUCUCCAGCUUUCGCAGCAUAUGAUCAAGGGUUUGAUGUUUUCCUUGGGAAUUUUCGUGGUUUGGUUUCUCGAGAACAUGUUGACAAGAACAUUUCCUCACGAAAGUAUUGGAGGUAUUCCAUCAAUGAGCAUGGGAUGGAGGAUAUCCCAGCAAUGAUAGAGAAGAUUCACCAAGUUAAAACUGCAGAACUGAAAAUUAGCCAGCCUGAUCUUGAGGAAGAAAUGAAUGAUGAUCAACCU